GGACUACCGGGGUUUCUAAUCCGGUUUGCUACCCACGCUUUCGUCCCUCAGCGUCAGAACUGUCCCAGCAAGCCGCUUUCGCCACUGGUGUUCCUCCCGAUAUCUACGCAUUUCACCACUACACCGGGAAUUCCACUUGCCUCUAACAGUCUCAAGUCCGGCAGUAUCCCCCGACCUCUUCAAGUUGAGCCUGAAGAUUUCACAGGAGACUUACCGAACCGCCUACGGACCCUUUACGCCCAAUAAAUCCGGACAACGUUUGUGACCUACGUAUUACCGCGGCUGCUGGCACGUAGUUAGCCGUCACUUAUUCCUCAGGUACCGUCCUUGCUCUUCCCUGAGAAAAGAGGUUUACGACCCUAAAGCCUUCAUCCCUCACGCGGCGUCGCUCCAUCAGGCU
rnacentral:misc_RNA from 1 species